rnacentral:rRNA from 1 species
ACGGGAGGCAGCAGUGGGGAAUAUUGGGCAAUGGGGGGAACCCUGACCCAGCAACGCCGCGUGGAGGAAGAAGGUUUUCGGAUCGUAAACUCCUGUCCUUGGAGACGAGUAGAAGACGGUAUCCAAGGAGGAAGCCCCGGCUAACUACGUGCCAGCAGCCGCGGUAAUACGUAGGGGGCAAGCGUUGUCCGGAAUAAUUGGGCGUAAAGGGCGCGUAGGCGGCUCGGUAAGUCUGGAGUGAAAGUCCUGCUUUUAAGGUGGGAAUUGCUUUGGAUACUGUCGGGCUUGAGUGCAGGAGAGGUUAGUGGAAUUCCCAGUGUAGCGGUGAAAUGCGGAGAGAUUGGGAGGAACACCAGUGGCGAAGGCGACUAACUGGACUGUAACUGACGCUGAGGCGCGAAAGUGUGGGGAGCAAACAGGAUUAGAUACCCUGGUAGUCCACACUGUAAACGAUGAAUGCUAG